rnacentral:rRNA from 1 species
UACGUAGGUGGCGAGCGUUGUCCGGAUUUACUGGGCGUAAAGGGAGCGUAGGCGGACUUUUAAGUGAGAUGUGAAAUACCCGGGCUCAACUUGGGUGCUGCAUAUCAAACUGGAAGUCUAGAGUGCAGGAGAGGAGAAUGGAAUUCUUAGUGUAGCGGUGAAAUGCGUAGAGAUUAGGAAGAACACCAGUGGCGAAGGCGAUUCUCUGGACUGUAACUGACGCUGAGGCUCGAAAGCGUGGGGAGCAAACAGGAUUAGAUA